rnacentral:rRNA from 1 species
GACGAACGCUGGCGGCGUGCUUAACACAUGCAAGUCGAGCGGUAAGGCCCUUCGGGGUACACGAGCGGCGAACGGGUGAGUAACACGUGGGUGACCUGCCCCCUACUCUGGGAUAAGCCUGGGAAACUGGGUCUAAUACCGGAUAUGACCUCAUAUCGCAUGGUGUGUGGUGGAAAGUUUUUUUCGGUGGGGGAUGGGCCCGCGGCCUAUCAGCUUGUUGGUGGGGUGAUGGCCUACCAAGGCGACGACGGGUAGCCGGCCUGAGAGGGCGACCGGCCACACUGGGACUGAGACACGGCCCAGACUCCUACGGGAGGCAGCAGUGGGGAAUAUUGCGCAAUGGGCGGAAGCCUGACGCAGCGACGCCGCGUGGGGGAUGACGGCCUUCGGGUUGUAAACCUCUUUCGGCCCCGACGAAGCGUGAGUGACGGUAGGGGUAGAAGAAGCACCGGCCAACUACGUGCCAGCCGCCGCCGUAAAAC